AGUGGAUAAAAUAAUUUUCUUUAAUGGUAAAGAGUGAGUCUGUUAGAUCAAAUGUGCUUGAAUGAGAAUUGAAAUCGUGAUAUAUAGGGCGGAAUGGUUCGUUUAACUCAAAAUUUGUUCUAGAAAUUUUUAAAAGUAAAAGUCUAAACUGCGAGCGGGAAGGUUAAAAUUAAUUUCAGACAACAAAAAAUAACUACAGACUGACCCAUUCAUAAGUUUUACAAGAAAUAUUAUACCAAGCAUUUUCCUACGACUAGCGAAAACGGAAAUGACAAUGAUUUAAGGGAAAAAGUAAAGAUUUAUAUUUAUAUAUGUAUAUAUAUAAGAUAAAGUUAAGUAAAUAGUGGCCAUAUUAGCGCAAAUUCGAAUGCCCUUAAACUCAAUGAACUCUGCACGAGGAACGUCGACUUCUUCAGACGCAAUUGAAAAAUGUACAGCAAACAAGACAUCACCUCCUAUUCUGCUCAACCGGUCAUAUCUAAAGAUUUCAAAUUCGCUAUUGAAUAUCUCAAUAUCAAAAAUGUGGGGCUUUAGACAGGUUUAUGUGAAAGCAAUGAUUUUAAAAUUACAAAUAAUUUUUUUGAAUCAACGGGUGAAGAUGAAAACACAAACUCAGGAGAUAAUAUUAUUCAGCCUUAUCGUGGACUUCGUGUCAACGCCAUUCCCAAUGAAAAAAUUCUCAAAUUUGUGUUUUUCUUAUCGUGAACUUCACAUGGGAAAAAUUUCCCAUAUUCGAAAAUAUUCUCAAACCGUAAAAGUAUUUCUUUUCAUGUGAAAACCUAAAAUUCGUUCACAAAGGCAUUGAGAAGGAACAAAUUUCCAUUAAAAUCUGACGUAUUUGGUCAACAUCAUGUCGGAAAAUCCUAAUAUAGGAAAAGGAUUUCAGAAGGAGAACAAGGAAAAUGUAAAUUCAUAUUGGAAGAAGUUGUAUGAUUUCCUCAACAGCAUGGGGCCGCCAUUGAAAUCAAAUGCAGAAUGGAAAAAGAUAGACCAGAAAAGAUGUAUUCGGAAAAAUAAAAAAACACCGGCGAAGGACUGUGUAAAGAGUAUGCAUUCUCUGUUCUGGCACAGUCAAUUUUGGAUUUAUCAGCGACAAUAGAAAGCGUGGAAGGUUUAGAUGGUAAAAGGGUUUUAUUUUACAAGCUAGCUCAUCUAACGCAAUUGAUAGCAACCAGUGUGAAACAACCAAGAACGAAGAAUGUGAUGUAGACACAGAUACAGAAGACUAAAGUUUUUUGAAUAGAAGUGAAACUCCAACGGAAAAUACAAGUACCACCCUUGUUCACAAGUCGAAACGACAAACACAGAAAAAAACAAAUACUUCUGAACUACUGAGAAUGGAACUGCAAAUACAAAAAGAAUUAGCACAUAAUAAUUUUAUUUAAAAACUAGAGGACCCGUCCACGAUUCACUGUGGCUGAUGCAUAGAUAAUACUACUACUACCAUCUAUGUGAUCUUUAUUAGUUGGAUUAUAACUAUUAGUUAAUAAGAUGUAUAAUUUUUGUGAGGCAACUUGUGUUAGUUUACAAAAAAAUUGAUCAUAAAGCACCUUGUGUGUGAAAAUACUGCUGAAUUUUGGCUCAGGGAAAUCCACCGUUGAAAAGACAUUUGCUAAGCUGGAAACAGGCGAAUUGAGCACCGUAUACAAUGAUGCUCCAAAGAUUCGAAAGCUAUGUGCAAAGUGGGUCCCUCGCAAGUUCAUAAUCCAAUAAAACAACGAAUAACUGAUUCUGAGAAGUAUUUGAGCGCUCUUUAAUCGUAAUAAAACCGAAUUUUUGCGUCGGUGUGUGACAAUACAAACAUAGCUCCACCAUUUGCCACUGGAGUCCAAUCGACUGUCAUUCUAGUGAACUGCACAUGAUGAACCGGUUCUCAGGCGUGGAAAGACGAAAAAGUCGGAUGGAAAGGUUAUGACAUCAGUAUUUUUGUAUGCAUGUUGUAUAAUACAUACUCAACAACUGAUUACUGAGCCAGUUAUAAUCCAUUGCACUGCGUAUUUGGUUGCAGUUCUUUUCUACUAUUACAAAUACUUAGUACUUGUAUUAUUUUUGAAGAAGAAUCUGUUUAAAAUUGUAGGCAUAUAUUCAAAUGAUUCCUACAGACAUGAAUUUUGAACAAAUACUUAUUAUUUGAAACAUAAAUUUUGUAUUUACGAGUUGUAUUAAAGUUUUAUAUAAAGAGAUAAAAGGUAUCCUAUGUCCUUACCCUGGUUCUAAGCUACCUCCCCACCAAUUUUCAGCCAAAUCGGUUCAGCCGUUCUUGAGUUAUAAAUGGUGUAACUAAAAACAACUUUCUUUUAUAUACUAAACUAGCUGACCCAGCAGCCGUUGUCCUGCCUGAAAUUAUGUGUUUUGAAAUGAAAAGAAAGUUGAAUUUAUAUUGUGUUGAAAAUCAUUUAUUUUCGAUUUUUCCAAAUUUUUUCAAUGUAACGAAGCUUGAUAAACAAUAUUUUUUGGUUUCUGUUUCGGUGCGUAAAUGUACAGAGAUGAUUGUUUUCCAACUCGUGAGCACGCCACGUAUGUAUAUCCGGCCGUGUGAAAAACAUAGCAUUUCCAAAUUUAUGCCACACACUUCUAGCGACUAUCCUUGUGUCCUAUUGAUUCUCAUCUCCAAUGCAAUUUUCACUGGAAAAGGAAUGCGUUGGAACUGAUAUGGAAAAUUGUAGAACUCUUUCAAAAAUGGAAAGGUUUGAACUGAAAUGGCAAAUCGUUGGAGCUCAGAGGAAUUCGUAGAGUCAAGCAUUCUGCCCCAUUCUAUAAGAUAGCUACGUUACAAUCAGUCGGGUUGCAUUACACAGUUUCGGUGCUUGAAGAUUGCGAAACAUAAUAACGACAGAAAAGCACUUAGAAAUUCCACUUGAUAAUUCGCGGCUUCGUCUCAUUGUCAAGACGAUCGAUCGAUUUGUAUGAGCGCAAGUCUCCCGGAAUUUGACUUUAAAUCUUCCAGUUUAAGGCAACAACAUCGGUGUUUUUGGCAGCUAAAAUUGUGCGUGCACUCAAGAAAUCAUAGUUACGAUAAUUUGGCCAAUGUCCGAAUAUUCUUUAUGAGUUCAUCUUUCAUGAAUUGAUAAAUGGCAGAUGGAAUUGAUAUUAAACCACCGGAAGUAUCAAUCAGAAUUGACACAUUUCCAAUUCUUAGCAAAUACGAUGUAAAAUGUCUUCGACAAUGUAAUUUUUGUUCGUAUACCAUAAUUGAAGCGGAUUUGAAGGUUGAUAUAUCGAAAUGAUCUUCCCGAAAAGUAUGCGAACUUCAUUUGCACCGCAUCGUACAUAUUUUGCUGGCUUGCUUCUAAAAAAUUGUACACACCGUACCAUUUACAAUACGCAAUGACUCAAAUGAAGUUGAAAUGCGUACAUUGUCCAAUAGGGACCGAAGGUCGUUUUUCCGGUGGAUUGUGUAAAUUCAU